UGCUGCAUGGCUGUCGUCAGCUCGUGUCGUGAGAUGUUGGGUUAAGUCCCGCAACGAGCGCAACCCUUGUCAUUAGUUGCUACGCAAGAGCACUCUAAUGAGACUGCCGGUGACAAACCGGAGGAAGGUGGGGAUGACGUCAAGUCCUCAUGGCCCUUAUGGGUAGGGCUUCACACGUCAUACAAUGGUCGGGACAGAGGGUCGCCAACCCGCGAGGGGGAGCCAAUCUCAGAAACCCGAUCGUAGUCCGGAUCGCAGUCUGCAACUCGACUGCGUGAAGUCGGAAUCGCUAGUAAUCGCGGAUCAGAAUGUCGCGGUGAAUACGUUCCCGGGUCUUGUACACACCGCCCGUCACACCAUGGGAGUGGGUUUCACCAGAAGUAGGUAGCCUAACCGUAAGGAGGGCGCUU
rnacentral:rRNA from 1 species